rnacentral:lncRNA from 1 species
GUCAAUAUCUCACCGUAGUCACUGCCGCCAUGUCAUCCCCGGUAGAUUUGGACCUGACCUCCUCUCAUUCUCCUAGGGCGCUUGAGCGCUUCAGCCGGCGCUUCACUGAUGACGACGAAGGCAGGAUCAGAAGGGGCACGUUGCAACCCCAAAGAAUUGGAAACCCUAGCAGUAGAGUUUCUCCUUAACGUGUGUGGUAAGGAACGUGAAGCCUGCUUAAGAUUCGAAGAGGAGCACGUGAGCGAAGAGGACAACUUUUUGAUAUUUUAUUAUCCAAUGGCUUUAGAUGAAAAAUUGAUCCGCUAGCAGGCUAAUCAAGUUGUGAACUAAUUGUGAGUUCAAGAAAAAGUUGUGAACUAAUUGUUUGACAAUUUGCGGCAACGUCUUAUAUGUAUAAAAAAAGAUGGAGAUACAUGUGAGAUUUUUGUCGCGGGGUUCAUAUGUGAGUUAUCGACCAUAUCUUUGAAUAUAGGGAAGACGUGAUUGCAUCCAGC